AUGAGAGGAGCUCCUGAUCUUCUCCCCUGGCCCCCGGUGAGCUGGACCUUGCUGGCGACACGGGGAAGAAGGGAGGUGGUUCUGGGCGAGCUUGACCUUGCCGGCGAAGUGCUGCUGGGGCCGGCGGCCGGCGAGGUGCCCUCCUGGGGCCGGCGGCAAGGUUCCUGGAUGAGCAGGAAGCUGGGCAGGGAGGAGGAGAUCCUGGGCGGAGGAAAAUCUGGGCGAGGUGGGCAGGAAGGAGAUCCCGGCGAGGUGGGGGGAGAAGCUGGGCGGCGAGCCGGCGACGCGCUGGGAGGCGAUGCACUUGGCGAAGCGAUCCCGAUGGUUUUUGAAUUUCAAGUUGAUGGAAGGGUAUUGUUGUCCAUUAGCGUUUUUGGGGGGCUGUCAGAAAUCUCCUUCCACGGCCUACAAAAGUGA
rnacentral:rRNA from 1 species